GAGACUCCUUCUUACUUCCUACCGCCAUGGGUGCGGCAAUCCUAGGAAAGUACGCAAGCAGCCAAUCCUAUUGAUUUUCUGGAACAAACCAUUUUCGUCUGUGUUCCCGUCUCACGAUCACAGUUUCAUUGCUACAAAGACUAUUCUGCGUAUUAUACGUUAUUAUAUUAUUUAUACGUUAUGUUUUCAUGCUAUGUUUGUCACAUAUCUUGUUAGCCUGGAAUAGGGCUCCAGGAACCCGUGUUUCGUGAUUAGCGGCCAUCUUUGAAAAUCACAGUUUCGUAUAUUUUCGCGUUUAGCAUUGUAACGUCAAUAAGGCAGCAUUUAGGGGAGGAUAAUUGGAAUGAGAUUGUCCUGACCCAGAGGGAAAUGACAGCAUGAUUUCGGACUUUUAAUAAAAAGAAUAAAACUGGAUUUACAGAAGCUGAAGAUGACAUUCCUCUGUAUAUCUAAAAACAAUAAUGAAAGUGAUAAAUGUAAAUCCUAUCAAAUCAGAUAAUGUAAUAGAAUCAGAAUAAAUUAUUAUUUAUGCUAAA